GACGUAGGGCGCGAGCGUUGUCCGGAUUUAUUGGGCGUAAAGAGCUCGUAGGCGGCUUGUCGCGUCGAAUGUGAAAUCUCAGGGCUCAACUCUGACAUUGCAUUCGAUACGGGCAGGCUCGAGUUCGGUAGGGGAGACUGGAAUUCCUGGUGUAGCGGUGAAAUGCGCAGAUAUCAGGAGGAACGCCGGUGGCGAAGGCGGGUCUCUGGGCCGAUACUGACGCUGAGGAGCGAAAGCGUGGGGAGCGAACAGG
rnacentral:rRNA from 1 species